rnacentral:rRNA from 1 species
GAUGAACGCUGGCGGCGUGCCUAAUACAUGCAAGUCGAGCGAAUGAUGAGGAGCUUGCUCCUCUGAUUUAGCGGCGGACGGGUGAGUAACACGUGGGUAAUCUGCCUGUAAGACGGGGAUAACUCCGGGAAACCGGGGCUAAUACCGGAUAACAAGAGAAGAAGCAUUUCUUCUUUUUGAAAGUCGGUUUUGGCUGACACUUACAGAUGAGCCCGCGGCGCAUUAGCUAGUUGGUGAGGUAACGGCUCACCAAGGCGACGAUGCGUAGCCGACCUGAGAGGGUGAUCGGCCACACUGGGACUGAGACACGGCCCAGACUCCUACGGGAGGCAGCAGUAGGGAAUCUUCGGCAAUGGGCGAAAGCCUGACCGAGCAACGCCGCGUGAGCGAUGAAGGCCUUCGGGUCGUAAAGCUCUGUUGUUAGAGAAGAACAAGUACGAGAGUAACUGCUCGUACCUUGACGGUACCUAACCAGAAAGCCACGGCUAACUACGUGCCAGCCGCCGCCGUAA